AUUGGUCAUUUAGAGGAAGUAAAAGUCGUAACAAGGUCUCCGUUGGUGAACCAGCGGAGGGAUCAUUACCGAGUUUACAACUCCCAAACCCCUGUGAACAUACCUAUACGUUGCCUCGGCGGAUCAGCCCGCGCCCCGUAAAACGGGACGGCCCGCCCGAGGACCCCUAAACUCUGUUUUUAGUGGAACUUCUGAGUAAAACAAACAAAUAAAUCAAAACUUUCAACAACGGAUCUCUUGGUUCUGGCAUCGAUGAAGAACGCAGCAAAAUGCGAUAAGUAAUGUGAAUUGCAGAAUUCAGUGAAUCAUCGAAUCUUUGAACGCACAUUGCGCCCGCCAGUAUUCUGGCGGGCAUGCCUGUUCGAGCGUCAUUUCAACCCUCAAGCUCAGCUUGGUGUUGGGACUCGCGGUAACCCGCGUUCCCCAAAUCGAUUGGCGGUCACGUCGAGCUUCCAUAGCGUAGUAGUAAAACCCUCGUUACUGGUAAUCGUCGCGGCCACGCCGUUAAACCCCAACUUCUG
rnacentral:rRNA from 1 species